rnacentral:rRNA from 1 species
GACGUAGGGCGCGAGCGUUGUCCGGAUUUAUUGGGCGUAAAGAGCGUGUAGGCGGUUCGGUAGGUCCGUUGUGAAAACUCGAGGCUCAACCUCGAGACGCCGAUGGAAACCCUCGAACUAGAGUCCGGAAGAGGAGAAUGGAAUUCCUGGUGUAGCGGUGAAAUGCGCAGAUAUCAGGAAGAACACCCGUGGCUAAGGCGGUUCUCUAAUACGGUACUGACGCUGAGACGCGAAAGCGUGGGGAGCGAACAGG